GGGUCCAUAGCUCAGUGGUAGAGCAUUCGACUGCAGAUUAAGAGGUCAUUGGUUCGAACCCGGUUGGGGCUU
rnacentral:tRNA from 1 species